ensembl:lncRNA
UGGGAAGGAGGCCUGGUAUACCUGCCACGUGCAGGACCCUGGCCUGAAGCACACCAUCACUGUGGCAUGGGGUGAGGAGCUAACCUUGAGGAGGAGUCAAGAUGGGGAAGAGGGUGGUGCCAGGACACCCGUAGACAACCCCAUGGUCUUGGACUCUUUUCUCUGUCUUCCUUAGACUCAUCCUCUAUUGGCAAUGACAGUGGCAAUGGCACACUACUUGGUGGGGUCACGGUCCUGGUCUUUGUUGGGCUGGUAGCUGUAAUUGUGAUACUGAAAAAGAAGUGUCUUCAAGGUGGAGAAGAUAAUCUUAACUCCCAACGCCCAGCAAGGACAGAAGCUGCUCAGACUCUCUGCUGAUUAAAAUUCCCCAUUACAAAAUCAAGGAAGUAUUUUGUAGGGGCAUUUUGGGUCCCCUAGAGAAACCCUAAACUAACUGGCUGAUAGCUGUGAUCUGACCACAAAGAAUCCAUCCUAUCUUCUUAUUUCUGCCAGCCUCCUUAUACAUGAUAUCUGCAACUGAUAUGGUUUUUCCAUUCCUGAAGUCAUUCUAAAAAAUCUAAUCAUUUCAGGGCUCAGGAUGUAGUUUAAUUGUAGAACAUUUGCCUAGCCUAUAUAAGACUAUGGGCUCCAUCCCCCAGCAUUGCAAAAAAAUAAUACCAAACAAAAAAAUCUAAACAUUUCCUGUUGGGGGCAGAUAGAAGGGCAGUAAUAACAGUUCCUCAGAUCUGUUUCCCACUUGACAAUUUGCAGAAUGAUUUCAUGUUAUAUAUAUAUAUAUAU